rnacentral:lncRNA from 1 species
GCAAGGAUAAUUGAUCGUCGAACUCACAUGUAGUAUUUGACAUGAAGCAAACCGCCUCCAAGGGUUCUACUCUGUCCAAGAGAUCAUCACCGCAAAUCGCAUACCACAAUAGCAUAAUCCAUUCAUAUUCGAACUCAAGUUAGAACUCUGACCUGGCAUUGCGAUGUUCUAGAGGAGGAUUUGUUGAUUGCGAAAAGAUUUGCUGCAAACCCUGGGAGAAAGAUUUGGGGCAACAUGGUGAAGUCAACACAGGGCCAUUCAAAACUACCAGCCCCUUUGUACCACAAUCGUAUUCCAUGAAAUGAUCAUUUUGCUCUUCACUUAAUCGUUGAAUCAGCACAUGAUAUCACAUGCAACAGCUUCCAUCAAAGAAAUAGACAUCGUUGUUAAAAACAGAGUCAAAUACAGUAAUUUCAUGGCCAUUGGGAUUCUAGUGUAAUUUUUUCCAAGUACAGAAACAUCGAUGCUAAAUGGUCCAAAUUAUAAGAGGAAAUAUGUAAGUAGCUCUAAUCCCAAAGAUUGUUACUACGUAAAGGAGCAUAAACAAAGAAAACUUUAUGAGAAUUAAUGAUAUCUGAUUUGAGUUCUCUCACAUAAACAAAGUUAAAUGGAUAUUGCUUUAUUUACUAAAACCUCCUCUCAUGAAUGUACUCAAAGAUCAAGUUGAAGGGAUCACCUUCUCUAUUCUCUCUCAGCUUUAGAAUGGUCCAUGAUUGUGUUUCCGUUGCAUGAGGAGCACUGAUCACUAAGUGCAUGUCAUUAGCUCACUGAUUGAGAUCCAAACCUGCCUC